GGCACUUGAAGCAUCCAAAGGAUUCGAGAGACGAUAAUGUUCCCUGUUUCAAAUCUUUUUGAGGUGCUCAGUUUUUCUGUCGACAAGGUGGUUGUGGCGUUUGAUUUAUAUGGUUAGGGUUUUCCAGAAUUGGGUGAGCUGACGGGAGAUCCGGGCACUCCAAAUAAGUGAGACAGGCAAGAGUGAGCUACUUCCGUACCAGCUUGAAGGAUUGAAUUUCUUACGUUUCUCAUGGUCUAAAGUCUAAACAAACACAUGUGAUACUUGCAGACGAAAUGGGUCUUGGGAAACGAUACAAAGUAUUGCUUUUUUGGCAUCGUUGUCUAAAGAGAAUGUCUCCCCUCAUUUAGUAGCACCGCUUUCUACAUUAAGGAAUUGGGAACAUUAAUUUGCUAUAUGGGCUGCUAAUAUGAAUGUUUCGCAUCUUCUCCACACGAAGAAGAAACAACCUUCACUUUCAGACGUUAUUGCGCAAACAACAAAGAAAUAGGAUGUUUUGUUUACGGUGCUACAAUUUUGAAGAAUAUAACAACAGCUAUUUGAAGAGGCGUUCACACCUUAUUUUCAAAUUGUGAAACCAUCCAAGCCGUUUAUCAUGUCUAGCAACUGCAACAUCGUGUCCAGUAGCAUAUGCAACAAUGGCACAACAACGAGCAAAGGUAGUCAUCCACUUUUUACAAGGAAUGUGGUUCUAUAUUACGCACCGGCUAGCUGAACAGGUCGAUAGGGUGCGCACCAGCUAGCUGGGGAGUUUGAUUGGCUUUUACCCUAUGUUCAGGAACCGCUUGAUCAUAUCCUGUUCAAGAUGGGUCUUUCUAAAAUCAAGAUUCAAGAGCUGAUCUCCAACUAAGAGAAUCAUCAAUGCAUUAAAAGAUUCGAGGGUCUUGCGUUUUCUAGAGCAUGGCGACUCCCAAUUGAAACAUCGGAUAUCCAUUCUCAACUGAAACAGGUGUGGAGAUUACUUCUAGCUGCUAUGAAGUUUUCAUUUGCUAAUGGCAUUGAAUUGCACGUGUUUUGUGAGCUGGAUAACUUGAAGAUAUUAUCUGUGAUGAUUUUGAACAUAGUGGUGAUCACAUUCAUGCUCUACGGUUAAUAAAGACCUGCACAAUCACAUUUUCUUCAGUCUCCUUGGUGACUGGGUGAACUAAGUUCCAGCUUUUCAAGAUGAAGUUCAUGAAACUUGGAUCAAAACCGGAUUUGUUUCAGUCCAAUAGCGAAAACACUCGGUCAAAGAACUCCACCACCCAAUCCUACCGGUGAUUACUUUGUAGCAAAGAGUAUUUGUC
rnacentral:lncRNA from 1 species